CUACGGGGGGCUGCAGUGGGGAAUAUUGGACAAUGGGGGAAACCCUGAACCAGCAAUGCCGCGUGUGUGAAGAAGGCCUGCGGGUUGUAAAGCACUUUCGGUUGGGAGGACUGCUUCUAGCACUAAUAUUGUUGGAAGUUGACGUUACCUUCAGAAGAAGCACCGGCUAACUCCGUGCCAGCAGCGCGCGGUAAUACGGAGGGUGCAAGCGUUAAUCGGAAUUACUGGGCGUAAAGCGCGCGUAGGCGGCUGAUCAGUCGGGUGUGAAAGCCCCGGGCUUAACCUGGGAACUGCAUCCGAUACUGUCUAGCUUGAGUACAGGAGAGGAGAGUGGAAUUCCACAUGUAGCGGUGAAAUGCGUAGAUAUGUGGAGGAACACCAAUGGCGAAGGCAGCUCUCUGGCCUGAUACUGGCGCUGAGGUGCGAAAGCGUGGGGAGCAAACAGGAUUAGAUACCCCCGUAGUC
rnacentral:rRNA from 1 species